rnacentral:tRNA from 1 species
AGCUCAGUUGGUAGAGCAGCGCAUUCGUAAUGCGAAGGUCACCAGUUCGAAUCCGGUC